CCCGCCGAUAAAUCGGCGGGCUAUUUUCGGAUGUCCCUGCGGGACA
rnacentral:sRNA from 1 species